CUGUAAUCUGGAACUCACUGGUGUAUGGUGGUGGGAGGGGUCAAUUUAACCUUGUUCUCUGUUCCUGCCCCUACAGAGGUCAUGGGUCAAUCUCUCAUGUGUGCCAUCAUGGUGGAUUCGUGGAAACUGAAUUACCACGAGGAACCACUCGACUGCUAGAACAUCUCAAACACACCAAAGCAAGAAGAGGCAAAGACAUGACAGUUAACACAACUGAAUACUUUAAUACAGAGAUCAAGACAAAGCCGGAAACUGGAUAAGAGGGUAAGGGACCAGUGGCAGGAAAUACCACUGGACCAAGUGCACCAGUUUACUUGGGGCCAAACCUAGAGGGCAGACUCAGUGAGGCCCAUUCUUCACAGAGCCCCAGAUGGUGGGGUGAACUUAGCCGAGGCUCACUGGCUUCACCUUCAUGAUGGUCCUGAUGUACUUGGCCACUUACCUGCAGAGACUGCUGGUGCAAGCACCAGCAGUCCACACAAACAAGGACUGUAAACCCAGCACACAAACUGGAACCGGAACAAACUGCACAGUACAGACAGGACAAAUGUGAAUCAGCACAUAAGCAGCUGCCUGGACCCCAUGCAGAACGACACAUGGAAGUCUCAGGUAGAGCUGCCCAAACAGGAAGACAAGCAGAUACCUGGACCCCAUGUGGAAAGACACUUCACAACGGACCUCAAACAACUCUUCCACUCUUCCUCCAGUCUAUGGGACCUUGAUUUCCAAUGAAUGAAUGAAAACAGGACUUUGGACCACUGAGCAACAGUUCUUUUUCUACUUGGCCCAGGUAAGACGCUUCUGAAUUUGUCUCUCAGUGGCUUGACACAAGGAAUGUGACAGUUGUAACCAUGUCCUGGAUACGUCUGUGUGUGGUGGCUUUUGAAGCACCAACUCCAGCCACAGUCCAUUACUUGUGAAUCUCUCCCAAAUUCUUGAAUGACAAUCCUUUCAAGGCUACAGUUAUCACUGUUGCUUGUGCACUUUUUUCUACCACACUUUUUCCAUCCACUCAGCUUUCCAUUAAUAUUCUUGGAUACAGCACACUGUGAACAGCUUCUUUAGCAAUGACCUUUUGUGGCUUACCGUACUUGUGGAGGGUGUCAAUGACUGUCAUCUGGACAACUGUCAAGUCUGCAGUCUUCCCCAUGAAUGUGUAGUCUACUGAAUCAGACUGAGGGUCCAUUUAAAGGCUUAGAAAACUUUUUUUUAGGUGUUUUGUGUUGACUACCUGAUUAGAGCGUUGCACCAUGAGUCUACAAUAUUGAACUUUUUCACAGUAUUCUAAUUUUCUGAGAUACAGAAUUUUGGGUUUCCAUUAGCUAUAAGCCUUAAUGAUCAGCAUUAAAAGAAAUAAACGCUUAGAAUAGAUCACUCUCUGUGUGUAAUGAAUCUAUAUAAUAUGAGUUUAACUUUUUAAAUUGAAUUACUGAAACUGAGAGGGUGAAAUCUGCUGGAUUUUCCGUGGCAAACAACUGCAUGUAAUAAAUGUGGAUUUUUCAGCUGGAUUUUCAGUCACUUGUGAACUCAGCCUUAUAGAGCAGACCACAUGAUGUGACUAAGUCUUGCCUCUAUAACUUGAAAUGUUGCGGCUUUGUGUUCAGCAAAACAUACUCCGCUAUAUACUAUAUAAUAUGUUUACAUUAAAUGGCUAUUAGUGUAAAUGAAUCACUACAGCCCCUAUUAUAGAAUGCAACCCCAUCAAAUACUGUACCUCUAUUCUGGAUGCUACAAAAAUAACCCUUCUGAGCAGAACAGGUAUAAACAUCUACAGGGUAUGUAUAUUUUACUGUAGUUAACAUCUCUUUUGCAUAUAGAUUGACUCAUGUACACUAAUUGCACAAAUAAACCAGCUAAAUACUAUAUUAUGAGACAGAGAAAACAGACACUGUUAUCCUUAAAGUUUUAUUGAAAAAACAAUAGUAUAUCAAACAUGGCAAGAUCUAUUUUUACGGCAGUUUUCCUAAAAAAAAAUAGAUGGUAGAAGCUGCAUAUCAUAAAACAGAAGCCCACCUUUUCAACACUUUGAUAAUACAAUAUGCAUUUAUGCUAAUCUAUAGAAGAAAGCCUUUGAAUAAAAUAUAAUGUUUCCUGUUCUGCAGGCUUAUCAGUUACCGCACAGGAAUACAGUAGACAUUGCAUUACUGAUCUAUUUACUAUGCAGGUAUAGAUGUAAUUAAACAUAAGCAAUAAAGACCAGAUGGAUUACAACAAGCACAUUGCAAGGAGCUAGGUUUGUUCUGAGCCUCAAUAAUGUUCUUAAUUGUAAUUACAAAAGUGAUUAUUUGUGCAAAAACCUGAACAAUGUGCUCUUGUCUGGAGUUACAGUAUAUUAACCUCAUCUACAGAUAUCACAACCUUCAUCCUGAUUCUUAAAGGCUAUGUACACCUUUUGGGUGAUUUAUUAUUAUUUAAUAAUUUAAUUAUUUUUAACAAUUGCGUUUCACUCCAUUAGUUGCUAAAAUUGUUUUUUUUCAAUUGGUCUUUAUUAUAAAUAUUCAGCCGUUCUAUCACAAAGGGUUAACUGUUUGUAUAGCUGUGUGAAUCCUACUUUCACUUUUUGCCAUCUAAUAACCCUUAUGUCUAAAUAACUAAAAGGUCAUAAACAGUGAGCUAUAUUGAGUGUUUAGGAGACCAGAGAUAAGGAGCCGUCAACUGAGCUGUCUGACGGAACAGAGUGAAAACAGGCUACUAGACAGAGAAAAGGGCUAAAAAUUUUUAAUAAAGACCAAUAAAAAAAUGAUUAGCUCAAAAUGAGUACAAUGCAAUAGUAAUUAAAAAAAAUUGUGCCCAAAGGUGUACAUAGCCAUUAAUGAUUUAAGUAAACAGUAGCAAUAAACUUUUGAUUGACUUUUUCCAUGCCAUUUGUGAUGUAAUAACGUACCAUGAGGUUUACAAUUGUUUCUGAGAUAACCUGUUAUCUUUUAGAAGGAUUCUGCUAAAGCCUAUUAGUUAAAGAGCAGUAAUUUCCAUGGAAACAUGGGGCAGAUUUACUGUUGAAAAUGUGCCGUUUUUUAUUUAUUUUUGUCGCAUUUUGCACAAAAACCUGGUGUACCUGCUUUGCUCCUAUGGGCUCAUUCCCUUAUAUUAAAGCAUCAUUUUUCUCAGCGGUGCCAGCUCUGGGACCCACACCAAUCAUUAUCUUACGUAAUCUUAAUGUGGACUAAUAAAGGUUAUGUUUUUAUAAUUUGCUGGUCAGUGGUAGUCUUGCAUGGCGUAGUACAUACAAUUAGCUUACAGUGAUGUGU